CCUAAUCCAAAACAGAAAUAAACACAAUUCAAAAUACUACAAUUAAAACCAGAACAAUUCUGGCAGGCCCUUCCUUUUACUAAAAACUGCCUGCCCUUUCCCAUCUCCCUCUCAUCCAUUUAACUUCCUGUUUUAGAUAACUGUCAUCCUUUUGAAUAAGUAACUGUGUUGAUUACUAACGUGCCUUACUUUCCUUUCUUCUAUUAUAAGUAAAAUAACAAUGGUGGUCUAACAGACCUCCUAAACUAUCCACUCUAGAGCAUGUUAAAUCACCAAUUCAUCCAAAAACUAAUGACGUAAAUGUAAUAUUAUAUCUUCAACGUAAAUGUAAAUGUAAACUAAUGACACUACAAGUGAUUUUGAAACUAAGACAUUGAAGCAGUCUGUUAGGAAGGGUGAUGGAACCAGCAAGAGUGGGGGGAGUUCUUUAAAACAAUCAGAGGUCAAGAGAAAGAAGGGAUCAGCUAAAUCUAUUUCUGGAAAAAACGUGAAAAGAUUGUCAGGUGAUGAUGAUAAAAAGGAAACCACACCUGUGCUGAAACCAGCCUCCAAAAAUUGGAAGUAAAUCAAAGGAUCAAGGCACUCUUGAAAUUGGAAGUAAACGUGGUAGCACAGGUCCAAAAAUCGCUGGCAAGUCGAAGAAUGAUGAUGCCGAAUCCAACAAGACUAGCAAAUCUAAGGACGAUGAGACAUCCACACCUGCCGCUGUUGCAAAGUCCAACAAGCAAGAUGUAUCGAAGACGGGGAAGUCCAAACAAGAAACCCCAAAAACUCCCGUUUCAAAAGGCAAGUCUACCAAAACAGGCGAUAAGUCUAAUAAUACCAAUCUCUCCACCAAGGUUAAGUUCACAUCUUCAAAAGCAAAAGAAAAAGAAAGUGGAGAUGUGAAGCAUUCAUCAACUUCUGGGAAAACAAUGGAGAACUCAAAGGGAAAGUCACUAAAUUCAUCCAAUGAUCAGGGCAGUGAAUCCAAGUCAGGAAAGAAAAGAAGAAGAGAGUCAAAAGGGAAAGUCACUAAAUUCAUCCAAUGAUCAGGGCAGUGAAUCCAAGUCAGGAAA